rnacentral:misc_RNA from 1 species
GCCCACACCAACCUUAAAUAUAAAUAGAAAAAUUCAUGUCAUUUGCCACACUAGCUUUAUCAUAAUUGCUUGGACCGAGGAUCACAUUGUAUGCAGUACACAUACAGAGGCAGGGGAGAGGGAAAGGUAAAUGAAUUUAUAAUUCAGGCUCAUCCGUCUUUUGGGAUUGCUUCAAUUCCUCAAAUAGUGAAAUUUUUACACUACAUACUGGUACAAUACACUGCAGUAUUACAGAGUCAGGGCCAACAUGGUUAAGAUGAUGCAAAGAACUGUAAUUGAAACUACACCUUGGCUUGGGAAGGUUACUCUCAGUUAAGUGGGCCAACUGCAAAAAUUCAUUCACUCAGAGGCAGGCAUCCACCAGUAUUGUAAACUUAAAUCAAUCCCUGGCGUUGCAGAUCAGUAUAUGUCUUUUUGUUGUAGAUAUUCCCCUCUCUGUCUUCAUACUCCUCCUCAAGAUCUGGUCGCCACUUGUUCAGUCCUUGCCGCUCUUGUAUUUUUUUCCACAAUUCUUUUGCUUCCUCAAUUGAUGUGAUCUCAUUAAAGUUCUUGGUGUUUGGAAUGCCAAGACAACGCAUCCCAUGCUGAUGGCGCCAUUCCUUGAAAUGCCGCUCAAAAGCCCUACGUCCCCAGUAACUAUAGUUCCCACAUAUCUCACACUUGAAUUCCUGACCAAGACCAUGAAGUUUAUACAGCCAGUAAGGAAUAGGCUUUCCAUCCCAACCCAUUGGCAGCUUGAGAGGAUUGUAAAUCUGUUGCUCCUCAUCAUCACUUUCAGUGUCAGCUUGCAUCUCUUCCUCCUCACGCUCUGCUUCCAUUUCAUCAUAUGUCAAAGCCUGCUUCUUCACAACAUUUUCUUUUGUCUGUACAAUAGUCUCACUCAGUAAAUCACACAGUUUUUUCAUUUUGGCCUCCAUCAGGGCAAUUUCUUUUGAAUUGUCAACUUCUUUUAAGGCAGGUGCACCUCCAUUCUGUUCUGAUCCAUGUGACCUUUUCGCAAAAUGCUUCUUGUCCAACUUCUCAAGUGGUGUGUCCUUUGUGAGGAAAAGCCUCUCUGCACGCUGCUGAAGAGUACCGCCACUCUUUAGUCCUAAUGCAACCAAUGCCUCCUUUAAUUUGUCAGGGCCCACUUCCAUAAGUUCCUCAACUGUGCUGUAAUAAUCAAGAUCGAUAACAGUAUGCUGAGGUGGAAGUUGCCCACUUUCUUUAACAUCCUUCUCCCAUCCUUGUACAUUGUCAUUUUCCCAUUGCUCUUCAAAUUCGGCUGUAACCUUAGAGAAUAUCCUAUCAAGAUCUUGCAGGGGCUCUGUCCGUUGAAAAAAGUAAAUUAAAUGCUCGAGUAGAUUCUCCAUAUAUUCCCUAUAUUGCCUUGUUAACUUCAGUUUUCGAGGGAUACUAUGUGGUUGUGAAAAAA